rnacentral:rRNA from 1 species
AAAUACAGCCAUGUCAUUCUUAAUGCAUCAGUUCUCGUCCGAUCACCAGUGUUGAGCUUAGUUAGUACUUGAAUGGGUGACUGCAUAGGAAACCUAUGUGCUGUAAGCA